AGUUAAUAACUUUAAGAAAGUUUUGUGUUUUGAAAGCAUAAAAAAGAGGUUUAAAUCCUCUAUUAACUU
rnacentral:tRNA from 1 species